GGAGGCGCGGCAGCGGCGGUGGCCGAGCUGCAGGCGCUGGCUGAGCGGAACCCCGGAGCGUGUCUGGGGUUGGGGGUGGGGGGCGGGGCUGAGCGGCCUGGGCAACCUGGCCUGGACGGGGCGGGGGAGGCCAUGGCCUCGGCAGAGUUGCAGGGGAAGUACCAGAAGCUGGCUCAGGAGUACUCGAAGCUUCGGGCUCAGAAUCAGGUCUUAAAAAAAGGUGUUGUGGAUGAGCAAGCAAAUUCUGCUGCUUUAAAGGAACAACUGAAAAUGAAGGAUCAGUCACUGAGGAAACUACAACAGGAAAUGGACAGUUUGACAUUUCGAAAUCUGCAGCUUGCCAAGAGGGUAGAACUACUUCAAGAUGAGCUAGCACUAAGUGAACCCCGAGGCAAGAAAAACAAGAAAAGUGGAGAAUCUUCUUCUCACUUGAGUCAAGAGCAGAAGAGUGUCUUUGAUGAAGAUCUACAAAAGAAGAUAGAAGAGAAUGAACGGUUGCAUAUACAGUUUUUCGAAGCCGAUGAGCAGCACAAGCAUGUGGAGGCAGAGCUGAGGAGUCGACUGGCUGCUCUGGAGACAGAAGCGGCCCAGCACCAAGCUGUGGUUGAUGGCCUGACACGGAAGUACAUGGAAACCAUUGAGAAACUGCAGAAUGACAAGGCUAAGCUAGAAGUAAAAUCUCAGACUCUAGAAAAGGAGGCCAAGGAAUGUCGACUUCGAACAGAAGAAUGUCAAUUACAGUUAAAGAAUCUUCAUGAAGAUUUGUCGGGUAGAUUAGAGGAAUCCUUAUUGAUCAUCAGUGAAAAAGUACCUUUUAAUGAUACAAAGUAUGAUCAGUAUAAUGCUCUCAAUGUUCCACUGCACAAUAGAAGACAUCAGCUGAAGCUGCGAGAUAUUGCGAGGCAGGCCCUGGCUUUUGUUCAAGAUCUUGUGACAGCUCUUCUGAAUUUUCACACUUACACAGAACAGAGGAUUCAGAUUUUUCCUGUUGAUUCUGCCAUAGACACUAUUUCACCAUUGAAUCAGAAGUUCUCACAAUACCUUCAUGAAAAUGCAUCCUAUGUCCGCCCUCUAGAGGAAGGAAUGCUUCAUUUAUUUGAAAGUAUUACUGAGGAUACUGUGACUGUCCUGGAGACAACUGUGAAAUUGAAAACCUUUUCAGAGCAUCUAGCUUCCUACGUAUGUUUCCUUAGGAAGAUUCUUCCUUAUCAGUUAAAAAGUUUAGAAGAAGAAUGUGAAUCUUCUCUUUGCACAUCUGUGUUAAGAGCCAGGAAUCUAGAGCUGUCCCAGGACAUGAAAAAGAUGACAGCGGUGUUUGAGAAGCUGCAGACUUACAUGACUCUUCUUGCCUUGCCAAGUACAGAGCCAGAUGGACUCCUUAGGACAAACUAUGGUUCUGUCUUAACAAAUGUUGGUGCUGCUCUGCAUGGAUUUCAGGAUGUCAUGAAAGAUAUCUCCAAACAUUAUAGUCAAAAAGCUACAAUAGAACAUGAACUUCCAACAGCAACACAGAAGUUGAUAACAACAAAUGACUGUAUCCUAUCAUCAGUAGUGGCAUUGACAAAUGCAGCAGGAAAGAUCGCGUCUUUCUUCAGCAACAACGUGGACCACUUUGUUGCCUCUCUGAGCUAUGGGCCUAAGACUGCGAGUGGGUUCAUUAGUCCUCAUUCAGCGGAGUGCAUGCUGCAGUACAAGAGGAAGGCUGCUGCCUACUUGAAGGCUGUGAGAAAGCCCCUUGUGGAGUCUGUGCCUUAUGAAGAAGCACUAGCCAACCGCCGGGUCCUUCUCAGCUCUACUGAAAGUCGAGAAGGCCUUGCACAGCAGGUUCAGCAGAGUUUGGAAAAGAUUUCUAAAUUGGAGCAAGAAAAAGAACAUUGGAUGUUGGAAGCACAGUUAGCCAAAAUCAAGCUAGAGAAGGAAAACCAACGAAUUGCAGAUAAACUGAAGAGUGCAAGUAGUGGGCAGCUGGUUGGGCCAGCCCAGGAAAAUGCUGUUGUGUCACACGCUACUGGCCAGGAGGAAGCUGCAGCUAAGGCUGUAUCAGAGCCCAUUCAGAGCACAAGUCUGAUUGGGAUUUUAACCAGGACAUCUGACAGCAAGGUUCCAGAUGUGGAAUCUCGUGAAGACUUAAUUAAAAAUCACUACAUGGCAAGGGUAGUGGAGCUUACAUCUCAGCUGCAGCUGGCUGACAGUAAGUCAGUGCAUUUUUAUUCUGAGUGCAGAGCACUCUCUAAAAGACUAGCCUUGGCUGAGAAGUCUAAAGAGGCAUUGGCAGAGGAGAUGAAACUGGCCAGUCAGAACAUUAGCAGACUUCAGGAUGAACUGACAACCACAAAGAGGAGUUAUGAGGAUCAGUUAAGUAUGAUGAGUGAUCACCUAUGCAGCAUGAAUGAGACGCUGUCUAAACAGAGAGAAGAGAUUGACACACUGAAGAUGUCCAGUAAGGGAAAUUCUAAAAAGAACAAGAGUCGAUAGUUUACAAAUAGCUGCUUGGUGACUGUCCCUUCCAGAACUACCACUGCUGCACAGAGCUGCCGGGCCGAGACUCCACGUCCAGUGCUGGCAGCCUUCAGAAGCUGAAGUGUUGCUGGACCCAGGAAACUAGUCAGUGUUGUCAAUGGCUUUGAGACACUUCAGAUAUAUUUGUAACCAAUACCGAGACCAGAAAAAGACCAACAGAGAUGUGACAAGUGAGUAAAGAUGUGAAGAAGAUGAGACAUCACUCAUGGACAUCUGUCCCUGGAGUCUGAAACAGCCAGGGGGUUGGUGCACUUGGAGUGGAGUGAGCUAGGCGAGUACUGGCAAGUGAAAUCAGAUAGGGGACAGAUAACUGUAACCCAAGGGUCUUGGUAGGCUUUGGCCUUGACUGUUUUGAGUGUUAAUGAUAUGCAUGUGGAGGGUUAGUGACAGAGGAGUGGUAUUACCUGACUUAUGUUUUAGUAGAAUUAUUAAAAUUCUAUGAACAGUUCUCUGUUGGGAGUAGAUUAUAGGGAAGCAGGGUGAAAAGAAGCAGUUAGUGGGCUACUGUACUAACCAGGAAGCUAUUCAGAGAUGACAUGGUGCAGUGGAAGUUGUGUGAAGUGUAGUUUUGGAUUUAUUUUGAAGAUUAAAUUGAUGGGAUCUUUGCUGAAAUAUUUACCUACAAUUACAACUCCUUCCUGCUAUACUUCUAUCACUUGUCUCUUUAUUCUACUCCUUACUUAUCAAAUAUAUGACAUAUUUGUUUAUUUAUCUACAUGUGAAGAUACGUCUCCAUGAUGACAGGUGCUUUUGUCUGGCUUAUUUACUGCUGCACUCCCUGGUCCCAGAACACUGCCUGGCAAUUAGUGAGUGAAUGUUUGUUGAGGGAAUGUUGAUUGUGGGUUGUGAGAGAAAAAGAGAAGUCCAAGAUAAAUCUAAGGACUUCAGCCUGAAUGAGCUUGACUGAGAAAGAGGACUGAGGGAGAAGCAACCAGCUUCUUGUAACUUAGGCAGGAGAACUUGGAAUCUCCUUACCUCGAACAUCUUAUUGGUUAUCUUGACUUAUUGAACAUUCCUGCCUUUGCAGUCUCUCUCACUUUGAAACUCUUUUCUCAAUACCUUAAAUUGAUUGCUGGCCAGAUCUAUUGUCUGAACUAUUCCUCUUGCUGUUCUCUAGUCCUCCCACUCCUGCCAGGUCAUGUUGCUAAAACAUAUCUCUGCAUAGCCAUUUUCCUGAUGGAUAGCCUUCAGAAUGGGUCCUCCUCAUUCCUGGGCAAUCUUCUGGUACUGUGCAGCUGUGAGAUGUGCACAGUCAUCCUUAACUCUCUUCCUCUGUGUUCUCUUCCACCCUCCAUCUUUAAGAAAUCUCUCAGGCCUCUGAGUCAGAUGUGAAACUUCUCUUGAACAGUGAGCCUGCUUUUCUCUUAGAACUUUGUGAAUCUUGGGAUUGCUUUCCUGUUUGCUUUGGAGUUGGAUCCCUGGCAAAAUGGUACCUUUUUGACAUUCCUGCUAAGAUCUUUGCUCUUUUGGCAGAGUCCUUUCCCAAGGCCUUGACAUGUACUGUUUUCCUUUAAGCCUCCUGACCAUCACAUCUCAUAAUACCAUUCUAAGACUGUUCCAGUCUUACAGAUAGAAACAAAGGUGUAGAGGAGCUAGGAUUCAGAUAUAGGCUAUUUUGCCUCUCGAGCUUCGGUUUUUCACUAUUGUAACAUGAGACUUUCAAAUUGGGACUUUUAUACUCCUUCAGGAACUAUGUAUCUGGAGGAUAAAAUAUUAAUUUCUCCAGUC